rnacentral:RNase_P_RNA from 1 species
GGAGUCGGCCAGGCAGUCGCGGCAUGCGCAAGCAUGGCGAGGAAAGUCCGGGCUCCACAGGGCACGGUGCCAGGUAACGCCUGGGCGGCGCGAGCCGACGGAAAGUGCAACAGAAAGAUACCGCCCAAGCGGGGCAACCCGCCGGCAAGGGUGAAAUGGUGCGGUAAGAGCGCACCGCGCGGGUG